UAGGGAAUCUUCCACAAUGGACGAAAGUCUGAUGGAGCAACACCGCGUGAGUGAAGAAGGGUUUCGGCUCGUAAAGCUCUGUUGUUAAAGAAGAACACGUAUGAGAGUAACUGUUCAUACGUUGACGGUAUUUAACCAGAAAGUCACGGCUAACUACGUGCCCG
rnacentral:rRNA from 1 species